rnacentral:rRNA from 1 species
AUUAGACCGUACAGAUACAGUCCGGCACAAAAGGACGAGGUGGAGCGGCAGGUGGCCGACAUGCUCGCCCAAGGCAUCAUUGUGCCAAGCUCCAGCCCUUCCGCGUCUCCAGUCUUGCUAGUGCAGAAGAAGGACCUCACCUGGCGAUUUUGUGUGGACUACCGUCAGCUAAAUGCGAUGACAGUGAAGAAUCGUUACCCCCCGCCCAUCAUUGAUGAGUUGCUAGACGAGCUAGCCGGUUCCCAGUUCUUCAUCAGCCUCGAUCUGAGGGCAGGGUAUCAUCAAAUACGCAUGAAGCCGGAGGAUGAGCACAAGACCGCAUUCAAGACCCACAACGGCCACUAUGAGUUUCGUGUGCUGGCUUACGGACUCACGGGUGGUCCAUCCACAUUCCAGGGAGGAAUG